rnacentral:rRNA from 1 species
UGGGGAAUUUUGGACAAUGGGCGCAAGCCUGAUCCAGCCAUGCCGCGUGCAGGAUGAAGGCCUUCGGGUUGUAAACUGCUUUUGUACGGAACGAAAAGGUGCCUUCUAAUAAAGGGCGCUCAUGACGGUACCGUAAGAAUAAGCACCGGCUAACUACGUGCCAGCAGCCGCGGUAAUACGUAGGGUGCGAGCGUUAAUCGGAAUUACUGGGCGUAAAGCGCGUGCAGGCGGUCUCUUAAGUCUGGUGUGAAAGCCCGGGGCUCACCCCCGGAAGGGCACUGGAGACUGGGAGGCUAGAGUACCGGAGAGGAAGGUGGAAUUCCUGGUGUAGCGGUGAAAUGCGUAGAUAUCAGGAGGAACACCGGUGGCGAAGGCGGCCUUCUGGACGGCUACUGACGCUGAGACGCGAAAGCGUGGGGAGCAAACA